AUGGAUGAUGUGUGUGACGAGUGCGGAGAUGUCGGCUACAGUCAUCUUCUGCUGCGAUGCAUCAAUUGCAACAAUGCUGCUAGACAUCGAUAUUGUUUGGACGAGAUAAACUUUGAUUCGGCAGUGGAGUGGUCAUGUAGUGAUUGUAUCCCAAAACACAAUGAAGCCAUUAAGCCGCCAGGAGACGCAAAUUGUCAAAGGCAACUAAGGAACACCAAGUUGGAUUUCUCUGUAGUCAAUGAACCAAAUGUGGAGCAAGAGAAGGUAACGAAGGCACGAGUACUUCGUAGAAAUAGACCAUGCCGAGAAAGAGAAGCUAGUUUUGAUGAAAGUAUUGAACAUGUCCCGGGUGGAGACACAUCGAAUCGGGGACGAUGUGUUGAGGAGCCAUUAGAUUCUCGUGAAAUCUCUGUCCGGGAUAUACCCAACCUCAUUGAUUGUAAGAAGGAAGGGGAGGAUAUAAAUGGACACUUAAUUUGCACACCGGAGAGUUUUGAUGGUUCAAGUAAUUUGGCUUUGGAUCAUGCUUCAAGUAUUGAACCCAACAAUUUGCAAAAGGCAGUUGGUGGUUCUAAACUUGCUUCAGAUUCUAUGGACUGGCCUGAUCUCCCAAAUGCAAGGAGUGGCUGCUUUGCUUCAUUGAAGUAUGUUGAGGGUUUUGUUCCACCAGGAAGGAAGGGUGAUAUUUUUUCUCUAAUGAAUGAGGUCGAGGGAUCCCGCCCAAUAAUUGUGGACAAGUCUUGUUCUACAUCGGCAAGCAUGGAGCAAGCAGAUGGUUUAUUGGUAAAAAUAGAGAAAUCUGAACCUUUGAAGUUGGUUAAAGGAUUGGAGGAGACUGUUGUAGCAUCAAAGUUUGCACCAAAUCAUUCAAAGCCGAUGCAAGGAUCAGAUCUGGAGACAGGGAGUGUGGAUGUCUUGAAUCCUCUAGAGCAGCGUCUGGACUCUUGGGCAAUGCCGCUGAUGCAAUCAAGUCCCUCAAAUGAACCAGAAGAUGCGGCUACGGCUACUCAGGAAAACGGUGCUGAAAGAACAAGGUGCUUGGUGGACAUGGAAACCGUUGCCUCUGAAUUGGAGAACCACAAAGAAUCAAAUCCCAAAAUGGCAAAUGAAAGCUUGAGUUGUGGUGAAGGUAACUCAGAUGAAGCAAAUAGAAGAUCAGAUGAGCUUUUAUCAAGCACCAAAGACAAUAAGAUGCGAAGGCGAAUGUGUGUUGCUAGAAAGAUAGUUAACUCUUGCAAGGUAAAUGGAAUUACAGAUCCUGAGCCAGCACAUGGUAACCGAGAUGCAAUAAAGCUCCAAUGUAAUGCAGGAAAGACUUCUCUUGCCGUCAAAAAGGUGCCUCUUCAGCUGAUAUUGCAAGAGGAAGGCAUUAACAAUGAGUUAUUGCAAGAGGAAGGCAUUAGCAAUGAGUUAUUGCAAGAGGAAGGCAUUAGCAAUGAGUUAUUGCAAGAGGAAGGCAUUAGCAAUGAGUUAUUGCAAGAUGAAGGCAUUAGCAAUGAGUUAUUGCAAGAGGAAGGCAUUAGCAAUGAGUUAUUGCCUUCCAAGUUUGUUGGUCCAUGUGAGUCAACAAAAAUCAACCCUAGAAAGCGUAAGCAAUCAGGAAAUUACGCUCCUGAUGGAACAAAAUAUCAGAAAGCCUGUAUUAUAAGUGGGAAUGAAAAUGCCAAUGUUGCAUGGUCAAAAAGUGGUAGACCAGCACGAACUUGCCAGAACACGCCUAGGAAAGACAAUGGUAGCAGUGAUAACGUUAUUGGGCACUCAAAGAUGGGAAAAGAUAAGAAAAUUGUUAAGUCAUGGCUGGCUAACAAGGGCAUACGAUAUUCACGGAAGAGAGGGAUGGUUACAGGUGUCUUGCAGCCCUACUCUCUUCGUAGACGUUCUGUGGACAGAUCAAGACCUUCACGGAAGAGAGGUAUGGUUACCAGUGUCUUGCAGCCCUACUCUCUGCGUAGACGUUCUGUGGACAGAUCAAGACCUUCACAGGAGAGUGGUGUUGUUACCAGUGUCUUGCAGCCGUACUCUCUGCGUAGACGUUCUGUGGACAGAUCAAGACCUUCACAGGAGAGAGGUAUGGUUACCAGCGUCUUGCAGCCCUACUCUCUGCGCAGACGUUAUGUGGACAGAUCAAAACCUUCAGAAAACAUGGAUCUGGCGCUGAUGGAAAGCAGCUGCGCAUUGAAUAAUCCAAGCAGCAGUUGUGCAGCGCAAGCAUCAGGUUUCUCUUCAAAAUCGAAAGAAUUACACGAGCGCGAUGAGCCAAAGAAACGAAGAAAACUCAUUUUAUCUUAUGACGAAGAGGAAGAUGCUGUGGCCUUACAGGCAGAAGAUCUGAAUUCCUGGUCUUGUGAUGACGAUGAACAUGUGAAGAAGCAAAGAAAAUGCGUGGAAAAUGCUGCGGAGAACCAGAGAAGAUCUAUAGAAGAAGGUAAAGAAGCUUUGGGGUCAGGAAAUUUGAAUCGAUGUUCGAAGAAUCAUAAGCAGGUGAAGAAGCAGAGAAGCAUAGAGGCAGAGGAAGAUGAAAAUGCAUCUGUAAGAAAUCUGAAUGCUGGAUGUUCAAGGAUGCCAGUCAUUUCAGAAUGUAUUGGCGGGCAACCCCUUGAUAUACCUUGUUGGACUGGAAUCAUGAAGAUCAACAAUAACUAUAUUCCAUUGGCUGCACACCUGUCAACCAAAGCAGGCAAGAAGGUGCAAGAACUGUCAAGAUCACUGCCACCAAUAAUGAAAGUGGCCAAGUUUUCUACAUCAAAAUCAUGUCCGCACUUUGAGGCACCGAUACCUACAGCUGACAGCAUUGGCUUGUAUUUCUUUUCGGGUGAUAUGAGGCAAACUAAAGAGCUGGAUGAGCUGGUGAAGCAUCUCGCUGAUAGUGGAAUUGUUCUAGAAGCUGUUGUUGGUUUGAGGAAGCUGUUUCUCUUCCCUUCUGGUGCACUACCAGUGCAACAUCAGACGUUCCAAGGGAAACCCUAUCUAUGGGGAAUGUUCAAGCCCAGAAAAGGUAAGAUCAGAAGAUUACCUCCAGUGGAACAAGAUUGUACUGCACAUGUUUCAAAGGAAGAACAUGCCCAAGAACAGCAUUCCUUGGACCAGGAAGACAAGGCACAAAGCAACACCCUUGACCUGGUCGUGCAUCCCGAGAAUCAACCCUUACUGGAUGCAAACCAACUAGGAAAGGAAGCGUUGUCUGGCAAUGUCCUGCCCCCUGUUGACGUGGGAGCUCUAGUUUCUGCAAAUAUCGGCCCAGCUGAUCAUGGACAGCGCUGCUCAAAUCCAGAAGCCCCGCCACCUAAACUCUGUGGUUUUGUUGUCUCACGGACACCAAGAUCUGCGCAACUCAUCCAGGAGAUGCAGAAGGAAGGUGCAUUACUGUUUGCUGUGCAGCAGGUGAUGACAGAACCUGGCUCAGUGGUAUAG
rnacentral:rRNA from 1 species